CCUACGGGGGGCUGCAGUAACGAAUAUUGGGCAAUGAGCGAAAGCUUGACCCAGCGACGCCGCGUGUAGGAGGAAGUCCUUCGGGAUGUAAACUACUGUCAGGGGGAAGAAAGUCCGUUUCGGCGGAUUGAUCUAACCCAGAGGAAGUCACGGCUAACUUCGUGCCAGCAGCCGCGGUAAGACGAAGGUGGCAAGCGUUGUUCGGAAUCACUGGGCUUAAAGCGUGUGUAGGCGGAAGCGUAAGCGUCUUGUGAAAUCCCUCGGCUUAACCGAGGAAUUGCUUGAUGAACUGCGCUUCUUGAGGCAGGUAGGGGUGCGAGGAACUCUUGGUGGAGCGGUGGAAUGCGUAGAUAUCAAGAGGAACGCCGGUGGAGAAGUCGUCGCACUGGGCCUGUCCUGACGCUGAGACACGAAAGCGUGGGGAGCGAACGGGCUUAGAUACCCUUGUAGUC
rnacentral:rRNA from 1 species